rnacentral:rRNA from 1 species
UGGGGAAUUUUGGACAAUGGGCGAAAGCCUGAUCCAGCAAUGCCGCGUGUGUGAAGAAGGCCUUCGGGUUGUAAAGCACUUUUGUCCGGAAAGAAAUCCUUGGCUCUAAUACAGUCGGGGGAUGACGGUACCGGAAGAAUAAGCACCGGCUAACUACGUGCCAGCAGCCGCGGUAAUACGUAGGGUGCAAGCGUUAAUCGGAAUUACUGGGCGUAAAGCGUGCGCAGGCGGUUUGCUAAGACCGAUGUGAAAUCCCCGGGCUCAACCUGGGAGCUGCAUUGGUGACUGGCAGGCUAGAGUAUGGCAGAGGGGGGUAGAAUUCCACGUGUAGCAGUGAAAUGCGUAGAGAUGUGGAGGAAUACCGAUGGCGAAGGCAGCCCCCUGGGCCAAUACUGACGCUCAUGCACGAAAGCGUGGGGAGCAAACAGGAUUAGAUACCCUGGUAGUCCACGCCCUAAACGAUGUCAACUAGUUGUUGGGGACUUCAUUUCCUUAGUAACGUAGCUAACGCGUGAAGUUGA